rnacentral:rRNA from 1 species
GACGAACGCUGGCGGCGUGCCUAAUACAUGCAAGUAGAACGCUGAAGAGAGGAGCCUACUCUUCUUGGAUGAGUUGCGAACGGGUGAGUAACGCGUAGGUAACCUGCCUUGUAGCGGGGGAUAACUAUUGGAAACGAUAGCUAAUACCGCAUAACAAUGGAUGACACAUGUCAUUUAUUUGAAAGGGGCAAUUGCUCCACUACAAGAUGGACCUGCGUUGUAUUAGCUAGUAGGUGAGGUAAUGGCUCACCUAGGCGACGAUACAUAGCCGACCUGAGAGGGUGAUCGGCCACACUGGGACUGAGACACGGCCCAGACUCCUACGGGAGGCAGCAGUAGGGAAUCUUCGGCAAUGGGGGCAACCCUGACCGAGCAACGCCGCGUGAGUGAAGAAGGUUUUCGGAUCGUAAAGCUCUGUUGUAAGUCAAGAACGGGUGUGAGAGUGGAAAGUUCACACUGUGACGGUAGCUUACCAGAAAGGGACGGCUAACUACGUG